rnacentral:rRNA from 1 species
CUGAACCAGCCAUGCCGCGUGAAGGAAUAAGGUCCUAUGGAUCUGAAACUUCUUUUGAGCGGGAGCAAUAAGGUCUACGUGUAGACCGAUGAGAGUACCGUUCGAAUAAGCAUCGGCUAACUCCGUGCCAGCAGCCGCGGUAAUACGGAGGAUGCAAGCGUUAUCCGGAUUUAUUGGGUUUAAAGGGUGCGUAGGCCGUUGUGCAAGUCAGAGGUGAAAUUGUGGGGCUCAACUCCGCCGCUGCCUUUGAAACUGCAUGACUUGAAUCCUGUUGCCGUGGGAGGAAUGAGUAGUGUAGCGGUGAAAUGCAUAGAUAUUACUCAGAACCCCAAUUGCGAAGGCAUCUCACGAAGCAGGUAUUGACGCUGAGGCACGAAAGCGUGGGUAUCAAACAGGAUUAGAUACCCUGGUAGUCCACGCUGUAACGAUGAUAACUAACCGCCGGCGAUAUAGUGUCGGUGGCCAAGCGAAAGCGAUAAGUUAUCCACCUGGGGAGUACGACCGCAAGUUGAAACUCAAAGGAAUUGACGGGGGGCCCGCAC